rnacentral:rRNA from 1 species
CAGUAGCCGCGGUAAUACGAAGGGGGCUAGCGUUGCUCGGAAUGACUGGGCGUAAAGGGCGCGUAGGCGGCGAUCAAAGUCAGGCGUGAAAUUCCUGGGCUCAACCUGGGGGCUGCGUUUGAUACGUGUAGGCUAGAGUGGGGAAGAGGGUUGUGGAAUUCCCAGUGUAGAGGUGAAAUUCGUAGAUAUUGGGAAGAACACCGGUGGCGAAGGCGGCAACCUGGUCCUUGACUGACGCUGAGGCGCGAAAGCGUGGGGAGCAAACAGGAUUAGAUACCCCCGUAGUCCCUGUCUCUUAUAC